AGACUGAUUGCUGGUGGCUAGGCCUA
rnacentral:piRNA from 1 species